rnacentral:tRNA from 1 species
UAAAUUGAAGCCAAAUAGAGGCAUUUUAUUGUUAAUAAAAUUACUGAAUUAAUAUUCCAAUUUAU